rnacentral:misc_RNA from 1 species
GAACAACCCCCUUAGGGAAAAAUCUUGCUGAGGGUAAUCCAUCUUCAGGCUUGAACAAUUCUGGCCCAUCUUUGUCAGACCACAUAUCAAACCCUCCAGGCUUUUGAAACCGAUCUGCCAAGACUCUCAAAUGCUCAUCCGCACUCACAGAGAAUAAAGUAGGUGCCUUUUCAACCACUUCCCAAGGCCUCUCAAGCUCAGAGACAGCAGCUUUCAGCUCAGCCCGCUUCCUCAUCUCAUAAAUUUGGCGUUCCCGAGCCAAUCGGGCCUUAAGGAGCUGCUUAG